UUCCAUUCUUUCUCCCUCCCUGAGAUCAGCGACGCUCUCUCUCCAGUAGCCUCCUCUCUUAUCUCUCUCCAUUCUUCCCGGCGGAAAUCCCACCACCAAGAGGUGUGGUGCCGCCUCUCCUCUGUCUCAUUGCGGCUGGAACAGGCGAGCAGACGCCCAGUUCCAGGCCCCCCGCCUCUUCUCCUCUCUUUUCUCUUUCUCAGGCGAGGACAGACGCUUGAAACAGCAAUGAACCACCAGCCAUCGGCAGCAAUAACUUUGAGAAGCAGUCGCAACGACAACGGAAAGCAGCUGCCACUGCCUCUAUUUUCCUCCGGCCAGCAGUAGGCGACAAGACCUAUAGUAGCUCCAGCGAAGACCAGGCGGCCAGCAGCUCUACGAGCUUUCUGUUUUCCCUCGUUUUUCGUUGCUACGACAAAGGCCUCGGCAAAUUUUCUGAAUCUAGCUAAGGAUCCGCCCAGGUUUGUUCUCUCAAUUAGUUAUUAUUCAUAUCUUAAUGAUUAUUUGUUGAUUAUCGACAUGCUCUUGAUUUCUAUAUAAAGGUAUUUUCUAUGCAUAUUUACUUUAUAUAAGAUUAAUAGAUGCUUUGAAUUGCAUUGUAGAAGAAGCUAUAAGUUGCUAUUUUUCUGAUCUUAACCACGUUUUGUUGCAAGUUAUCGAUGUUUGAAUGUUCUUAUAUCUAUUAUUGACUUCGUUGUAAUUUUGCUCAAAGAAUUAGUAUGUUCUUGAUUCAGAUUGUUAAACCCUGCUUUAAAAUUGAUUAGCAUCCUAAACUAAUAUGAUGCACACUUGCCCCCAACUUUACUUAUUUAAGUGAUGCCUAUGGAUUUGUUCUUGAUGUGGUCAUUUUGAUUACUUAUCAACUUGUUAAUUGGUAUUGAUCCUUUUGUUGAGCUACAUGACUGAUGCAUUAAAAUGUUACUCUUGCCAUGAUAUGCAACCUGUCCGUAUAUGAUAAAAUUGUGGGUUCUGUGAUCUUUGAAAUAUUGAUUGGAGUUAUAUUUUAUACUUCUCCCUUAAUUUUUUUUUUUGAUUUGUAAUUGAUUGGUUAUUAAUUAAUAAAUUUUUUUCUUAUUCAGUUGUGGACAUAUUUUUGACAUGUUAAUUUUGGUUAAGUAUUUCUAGAAUUUGACUCAUAUUUGGCAAGAGUGUCUCUACUGAUUUGGCUCUUCUUUAUUUAAGAGAAAAUUAUAUCACUCUUCCUAAUUUUAUUUUAUUUAUUUAUGUUUGGUAAUGAAUAUUUUUAAUUCCGAUUCUAGCUCCUCUGAAAAAGAAAAACAAUAUAAAUUGAUCCCUUUUUCCUUAUUUGAAAAUUGAUUGAUUUCUUACUUGUUCUAUAUUUGGUAAAAUAAAUUUAAAAUAAUUUUGUUUGGCUCUUAUUUAUUUAAGGAAAAACAAUAUUAUCUUCCUAACUUUAUUUCAUACUAGUUUAUUAUAUAUUAAUGAAUUCAAAAUAUUUUCUGAUUUUGGCUCUUCUUGAAAAUAAGGAAAUUGAAUUUAAUUGACUCCUUAAUUUAUUUUAUUUUCCUUACUAUGCUCCUCUCUUCUACUAUAUAAAUAAGACCCUCCUCCUCUCAUUCUCUCAAUUCAUUAACUCAUUCAUUCUCUCUUAACACAAGAGUUAGACUUCUUAAACUCUCUCAUUCCCUUACUACUCAUAUUAUUGCUACUUUUAAACAAACUAAGUUUUUGAUAACUUUCAAGUGCUACUUGGCUACUUUGCUUUGUCAGAGAAAGAGUAAGAUCAAUUCGUUUUCGUUGCUAUCAUUCAUUUUUUGCUUAACCGGUUAGUUUUCUUUUUGCAUUCAUACAUUUGUUUAGUUGAUUGUUCUAUUAUUUUCUAUAUGUAUAAUUUGUUGUUAAGCACUUGCAUGUGUGUCUCACCUUAUCUAAAUAAAUAUGAUUACUUGUGUAGUUAUUGGAUUGCUUUGACAGGUUUCAAACUUGAAGUUCAAGUUGAAGAUUAGCCAUGAAGAAAGAUUAUUUGUUUAAUUCAUAUAUUUGAAUCUAUUUAUUUCUUAUCUAUUUAUUUGAAUUUUUUUUGAAUAUUUGUAUAACUCUAAAGCUCUCAUUUAUAAAUUAUAUUUGGGGAUCGUCUAAAAGGAGGGGGGAUUGUAUGCAAAUUUGUAAUGUUUUUCGUGUUAGAAAGCAUGCUUAUAGGACUAAAAUAUUUUUGCGUCAUCUAUAUAUGUGUUGUUUUAACUUUCCAAUCGCCUAGAAAUCAUAGGUUUCACAAGCUAAUCUCUAGUAUGUUGACUUACAUUGAAAGGAGCAAAAGCUUUAAUUGUCAAUUUGUCCCUUAUUUGUUAAUAUGAAUUCUUUUUAAUAAGUUUGAAUAUGUUCACUUAGAAACCAUGCAUAUAGGAUUUAAUUAACUAAGAUUGUGCGUUAAAGUCACUCCCAAAUAAUUUUCAGCAUGUUUUACAACUAGAUAAUCUCAAUAUUUUCAACUCUAUGAAAAAGAGCAAAUUUUCUGUACAUUAUUAUUUUGUGUUACAUCAUAAAAAAAUUGUCAUACUAAUUUGCCUAGAAAAAUCUGCAAAAAAUAAAUAAAUAAUAGUUAAUAUUUUUCUGCAUCAUAAUUAACUUUUUGCAUCUAAAUCUGCUAUUAAUUAAUUUCUGCAUGUGUAAUUAAUUUCUGCCUAAAAAAAUAUAUUAAAUUUUUAACAUUAACAACCAAAUUUGUAAAUAUGUCAAUGUUUGAAAAAAGAAUUUUUGCAUUUAAACAAACUUGUCACUUAUUUAGAAUAAUUUUCUGCAUUAAUAUGAGAUCUAUUGUUGUUCUUAAAAUAAAUUUUCUACCUAAAUAAAUAAUAAAUUUACUGUCCUAAGUUAUAUUUUGCAUUGAUAGUUAAUUUUUAUGUUGUUUUAAAAUACAUAUGCAUGUGAGAUCACAUUCCUUUGCCAUUUGGAAAUAAAAUAAAAUAUAUCAUGUCACUAAUUGUUGCUCACUUUAAAGUUAAUACUAAAAUAUACAUCUAUGUUAUUAUAUUUGUCUUCUCGUAAUUAAUUUUUUGUUAUUAUAACUUUGUAUGUUCACACAUUCAGCAUGAAACCUUUCACAAUUAUGUAUUGUUUGCAAGUAUAUCUAAUUAAAAUUUAAAGGCCAAGUUGAAACUUACCAUGCUAAACUGUUUGUCUUGUUCUCUAGGAGGGUCUUAUAUUCUAUUUUGUCUAAACCCACACCAUUAAGAGUCCAAUGCCUCUUGGACAUUAAAUUUGGGACGAUUAGGAACCUUUUAGGUACGAAAUGCAUGCGGUAAUUGGGUAGUGAUAGUUGGCCCUACGGAGAUGAUGACAUCGACUCAGGCUUAAAAGACAAACCUUGAUUUUAUUUGUCCCUAUACGGCAGCCUAUCAGAAAAAUAAAAGAAAAGCCGAAACUGAUCCAAAAAGUCUCUUUUGAGUCUCCCUUCCCUUUUUUACCCUUUUACUUGUUUAAUAAUUAUGUUUAUUUGGGGUAGUUUACAAAUAUAUAAAAUUAUUUGCUUAUUCAUUUGUCUCUUUUCUAUCUUCUCGCUUGUCUAUUUAUUAAUUGCUUAGUAUAUAUUUUGUUACUAUCACUUAGACUCGCAUGUUUAAAUAUUAAUUAAAAUAAUAACAUGAGCUAUUUGUUCGACUUGUUUAUCACAUAGUCUCGUAUGUUAAAUUAAAUAAAAAUGACUUUAACUAUUUAUUUAUUACUAUCACCUAGCCUUGCAUGUUUAAAUUAAUUAAUAUGAUAAACAGUCUUAAUUGUUUUAUAUUUUUUAUUACUUAGCGAGCAUGCUAUUUGAUUAACUAAUAAAUGAAGUGGCCUUAUUUGCUACUUGUAACCCCCACAUAGAUUGCACAAGAUACAGUCAGGAUCCACAUUUGUAGACCUCGAGGGAUGCCUAACACCUUCUUUUGAGGUAAUUUGAACUCUUACCCUGAUCUCUGGCUCGUUGUCCUUAACUAGACUUAGUUAAGUUAGAUAGCUGCCCUAACGCGCCUUAAUUCGUUAGAUGACGACUCUUCAAAGCUCCAAAUCUCAAAAGAGUUGUUAGGUCGUGUACAAAACCCGUUUCGAUGAAAACAGAGCUCGACAGAAUGGCGACUCCGCUUGGGACAUUAGGUUCUUACCAUUAUGUGUUUCGUGCUUAUUUAUGUGGGGUUUACUUUAUUUGGUCAUAUUAUUAUUUGUUAGGUGCUUACCAUGUUUAGUUUAUUUUGUUGGCUUAUUUAUCAUCCUUUUUCCAUGUUCCACCCAUUACCUCUCUCUAAUUUGUUUAUUAUCAUGUAUCACCUUUUUCCUCUUCCUUUAUUUGUUUACUUACAUGUUUAAUCUCAUAUCCUCUUCCUUUUUUGCAUGAUUUUUAAUAUGUCUACAUGUUUACUCCCCUUUAUUUAUUUAUGCUUAUUUAUUUAUUUAUUAUUUUAUAAACUGUCUAUAUGUUACCGCUUUCCAAUCUAAAUGCUAAGUGUUUACCGCUUUGAUGAGUGACAUUCCGUUCAUACUUCCCCUAAUUAGGACCUUUUCCCUUUUUAUUUUGUUCUCGUGAUGUUGUGCCUUUGCACCUAUCACAACUACUCCAAUUCUAUUCAAAUACCAAUUAUAGAGAGUUGGCAUAUGCGUGAACAUAACAGAUAGUUUUACUACCGCGAAACAACGAGCCUCUCGCAUAGAAUUCCUUUCAAGUCCGUGUCAAUCCAAAUCUUAAAAGUCCUAGUAGCCACCCUAUCGUCUAAAGGGCCUCAAUACCAUAUAGACAAAAUUUCAUACUUAUGUGUCAACAUGAUCAUAAUAAUCAAAUCAAGUGAACUUUGUCAAAAUGGAGUUUAGAAGUCAUUUGUUACUUUGUUAACCGAGUCAUGGCUUACCCUCAUUUCUCCAACACGCAAAUGGUGGUCAAACUUAAUCCCACUUUAAAGAUUUGGUUGGAAAUUUAUUCAGAAAAAUCAAGAGUUAGAAGCAAAUGAACUGCUAGGCGGCCUUACUGCUUUGAUCUCCGUAGAGUCAGAUCGUCAUUUAAUCAAGGCAUUGUUGAAAUAUAAUCUGGGACAAUGAGAGGUUAGUGUUCAAAUUCAAGGACUUUGAGAUAACCCCGACAAUUGAAGAGGUUGGAGGAUUCCUGGGUCUCGCAUACAAAGAGCGGGAAAUGAUUGUACCACACAAGCCAAGUCCAAGAUCUUUUCUGAAGCAAAUGGGCAUGCGUCAUAAUCCAAGUCUACUUUGUCUGAAAGAAGGUUGGAUAUCUUUAGAGUUCUUGUACUCACGCUUUAGGGAUGAGGAAGGUCAUCAAAACUUUCACAGAGAAUUUGCUUGCUCUUCUAAAAAAUGGGAAAGAUACCAUCUUAAUGCAUUCGCCAUUUCCCUAUUAGGCUCAUUGGUUUUCCCUAGAGAAAGGGGAAAGAUCCACACUAGGUUGUUUUACGUGGUUCGUAUGUGUGCUCGAGGUAGGAAGACCUUAGUCCCCAUGAUACUUGCGGAAUUCUAAGAGCCUUGACUGCGUGCACCAAGGGCAAGAGAUACUUCGAGGGGUGUGACUUUCUGGUGUAACUUUGGGCCGUUGAACAUUUCUACCAAAGAGAUAAUAAAGUAGACAUUGUUAGAAGGACUAUGGGGAACAAAAUUAUCAACCAUCGCUUAAGGAUGAAAUAUUUUAUUCCUCCUAUGGGAACAGAGGACUGGUUCACACAUCUAAAGGAGCGUUCAACCAUUGAAAUCCGAUGGAGGUAUUAUUGGUUGAAGCCACAACGUGCCAUAAUAAAGGAAAUAAACUUUACUUUAUCGAGCUUAUCGUUUUGAAUGGUGUGUAACCAUAUGCACCACUUCGAUUCCUACAUCAAUUCGGACAGAUCCAAAUGAUACCACUGCGAUCCCACAUGAGCCACUAUGGAUAUUACUUUAGGCCAGAAAUACCGCAAGUGAACACUAUACUGCGAAGAUGGGGGAAUGUGGUAACUAUCGAUGUUCAAGAAUACCGACCCUUUUGUACACAUGAAUAUUACGUAUGGAUUUCAGAAGACGUAGAGCAUAGAGAUUUGAGCGAAGGAGAUCUUCCAGGUUUUGGCGAUGAAGAGGAGAGAAGAUGGGCUCGCAACCUUCUCAACACCGAUUAUGAUAUCACCCCAGAAAUGAGGAAGCAGAUUGUGCCUAACAUUCGAGAGCAACAUAAUUGAUGUUUUUUCUUUAUUCCCCAUACAUUAUCCCUAGCCCUUUAGUUAUCUCUAGAUUGAUGUAAUAAAUCAAAUUUAUUUCAAUAUAAUAAAUGAAAGUAUUAUUAUCUACCUCUAACUUCAAUUGUCAAAUAAGGCUUGAAUUAAUUAUUGUGCAUCACUUAUGUGUCGCUUCGGCCUACCUUUCGCUCAACGAGGUCCCGUUCAUUUAGGGCGUUUAUAUCAAAACAACGUGUUGUUAUUAUUAACCCCCUAACAUCUUUUCUCUUGAUUCUAUUAUUUUCCCAUUUCCCAAGGUUGAUCUGUCCUUCAUCCUGGCACAUACACGAUCAAAAGAGACCCCCUUCUCAUUCUCCUAAAAAAGCAAGCUCCAAAGAUAAAGGUAAAAUGGUUGAUGACAACAACACCAAUGAAAGAGUUGAAGCUUCUGAGGGGGGACAACUUCCAAGUGAUCUUGUCCUAAGACUUGAAUGCAAGAUUCUAGAAUUGGAAGAAGAGGUAGCCCACAUACGCGAUUUGGCCAAGCCCAAUUUGGAGAAAACAUAGACAAUCUUCCUCACACUAACCAAACAACCAUGCCAAACAAUCCUUCAAUCAAUAUAUCCCGACAUGAACCCACUCAUCCAAAUACCUUUCCACCACCCCAUGCCCAAAAUACCCAAGUUCCGUUCCACCAUUAUUACCAACAAACCAAGCCAACCCUCCCAGAAACAACCCCAAAUGAAAAUCCUCCAUAUACUCUUGGAAACAACAACCUCAAUCCAAUAUAUGUGGAAACCGCUCCUCUGACCCAUGUCCUUCAUGAAUCAGAGUACCACCGAAAGGACAUUUUGAUAAAAAACCUGAUUGAGAGAUUAGAUGGCUUGACCAAUAGGGUGUAGCAUGUUGAGAAAACAAGAGGUUAGGAGGACUGAGCUACGAGGAUUUGUGUAUGCACCUGAUUAGAACUACCCAAAGGAUACAAGCUUCUAAAAUUUGAGAUGUUCAAUGGCAUUGGGGAUCCCAAAGCCCACCUAUGAAUAUAUUGUGACAAACUUGUAGGGGUGGGAAGAGACGAGAGGAUACUCAUGAAUCUGUUUAUGAGGAGUCUUACUGGGGAGGCCCUAGCAUGGUAUAUUGAGCAAGACUCGCGGAAAUGGGUCGAGUGGGUAGAUAUGGCAAUGGAUUUCAUAAAAAGGUUUGGUUUUAAUAUAGAAAAUGCACCUGAUUGGUUUUACAUUCAAAACUUGAAGAAGAAACCUAGUGAAUCCUUCAGAGACUACGCCAUAAGAUGGAGGUCUGAAGCGGCUAGGGCCAGACCCCCUAUGGAGGAAUCUCUGAUGAAAAACUACUUCAUCAAUGCCCAAUAACCAGAAUACUAUAACCGAAUUAUACUGGUGGCUGAAAAGAGUUUUGCUGAAAUCAUUAAACUAGGCGAAAGAAUUGAAGAAGACAUAAAGAAUGAGACUAUCAUCAACUUGGAGGCUUUUCAAGCAACCAAUAAAGCUCUGCAAUCUGGUGAAAUGACAAAAUCUAAAGAAAACAUGUCCUGUAAUGAUGGCUCAUGGAACCAAGGCCCCUUUGAGGCACCAGGAAACGAACCCACCUCCAUCCCCAUAUCCUCACACUCCAUACCUCAACAUCCCUCAGCUCCACCCCCUAUAUCUCCCCAACCCAUGACAAUAUAUUACCAAAACACUCCCCUCAAUAUUUGAAGCUUCAUAUCCUCUCUAUAAUGUCUUACCAACACACUUCCAAACUACACCAAUUACCGGAACAGACCUCCCUAUAAAAGAAGACCUACAGAAAAUUAUGCCCCUUUGGACGAACCCAUAACUCAACUUUAUGAAAGACUGAAACAGGCUGGGUACGUCUCCCCAAUUCCUGCAUUACCUGUGGAUGUUUGUGCAAAGUGGUACGACCCUAACAAGGUCUGCGCCGACCAAUCUGGGAUGAAGGGUCACAGUACCGAAGUUUGCAGAGCCCUCAAGGAUAAGGUUCAAAUGUUGAUUGAUACAAAAACCAUCUAACUCAAGGAUCCUACACCGAAUGUUGCAAAUAAUCCUCUUCCUAACCACCAAGUCAACAUGGUGGAAGUUGGUGAUAUCUGGGAUUGGGAAGAAUCUAUCUGGACCCUCGAAAAAGAAGAAGCCAUGUUUACCACCGCCCAAGCAUCGAUGAUAGUGCAACCACUUGCCCCAUUCGAAUUAGAAAUUGCCGCACCUAUACCACCGUUCACUGUCUAUAGGGCAUCUUCCCCGAUACAAUGUGAUACACAUGUUGUACCUUGGGAUUACAACAAAAGAGAAACGAAAGUGGAAGAGACAGAUGUUGCAACAGGGGUCACCAAAUCUAGAAGAAUUUACACUUCUAAGAAUUUGGUUCAGGGAAGCUCUAGCAAAUCCAAAACACUAGUCGUAGAGCUUGAAUAUAAGUGUAUCUGAUAAAAGGUUCAAGCUAAAGAAUACUCUGUCAUUGAGCAGCUGAGUAAAACCCCAUCCCAAAUAUCAAUCAUGGCGUUACUGCAAUCUUCUGAAACUCAUCGAAAUGCCUUUAUGAAGAUCCUUAGUGAAGCUUAUGUUCCAUCUAAAAUCACUCAUGAAGAGGUAGCCCAAAUGGUAGGGCAGGCUCAGGUUUGAACAUUUGCCCGCUGAUCACACCGACAAGGCUGGGCGUGGAUAGUGCGAAAAUUCAGGCAUGGAAGAUGAACGUGAGGGCAUUUGAGGCUCACAGAGGGGAACUAUUGGGGAGAUAACCUUGGACAUGCUCAUUGGUCCUGUCACUUUCCCAAUAGCUUUCCAAAUCUUGGACAUUCCCUUAUCAUAUAACAUAUUGUUGGGUCGUCCAUGGAUUCAUAUGGCUAGAGCGGUCACAUCUACUUUUCACGAAUGCUUGAAGUUUUAAUGGGAUUACGAAGAGGUUGUAGUCCAUGGAAAAAAGGGUAUCCUGUAUACACGAUUGAAGGAAGAAAACAUAUGGAUGGUGAAAUGUACCAUACAGUGGAGCUUGUUGGUAAUAUUGAAUUACAGUCUUGGUUUAGCCAAAAGAUCAUAGAUAUGAUGGCCUGGUUCGGUUUCGAGUUUGGGAAAGGUUUGGGGGCUGAAUUGUAAGGGAUAGUCGAACCUAUAUAACCUGUUCGACAUUCCACCACUUUUGGCUUGGGAUAUAAGUAAACUACCGAAGAAUGGCUCGAUUGGAAACCACCUAAAGAUGGGUACUAUUAUCCAUUUAAGAAACCCAUACCGCUAUUGCGUCAAUCAUUUUGAUCAGCAGGUUUCAUGGGAGACAUUAUUGAUGAGAUCUCAGACGACUUGAAGGGGUUGUCGUUGACCAAAGAAGAGGGAAAAGUUUGCAACGUCGCGAUCAACGAGGAGGAUAAAGGGGCCCUAGCAGAAGCAGGGAGGCAAAGAUCAGCAUCAGCAACUGGACCUCGACUCCAUGCAGACCUCGUCGGGCAUCUGGGUAGCCUUGGGAGAUGUUUUCUAUUAAGUUUUUAAUUUAAAUAAAGGAGUUUUCAAUAAACGUUUUUAAAUUCUCAUCCCCUAUAUUGUUUUCAAAUGAGAUUUUAUGCAACUUUCAAAUUUUUAUAAAUAAAGUCGUUUCCCCACUCAUUUGUUUUUACCUUAUAUUUAAUUGCGCUACUUUCUUUCUCACCAGCAAAAUCCACUAUAAAAAUGUUGAAUAUGAGUCUAUGGUAUAAAAUGAGACUGCCUAACUUAACUUUAAUGACUUAGAAGAAGUCGAAGACAAUGUGGUCCCUCAGGAGUUAAUAAAAAAGGUUGAGGAAUUCGAGGAAAACCCCAAUCAAAACCUGGUAGAGACAGAAGUGAUGAACUUUCAAAAUUCAGAGGUCAAACAAGAAAAUCGAGUAAGCAUCCAUAUGAAAAAAAAGGACAAGAAAGUGUAUAUCGAGUUUCUUAUAGAGAAUAAGGAUAUUUUCGCAUGGUCCUAUGCAUACAUGACAGGGUUAAGUACUUCAAUCGUAGAUCAUCGACUGCCCACUAAUUCAGGGUGUCCUCUUGUAAAUCAGAAGCUGAGAAAAUACAAGCAUGAGUUGAGUCUAAAAAUCAAAGAAAAAGUAUCAAAACAAUUAGAUGUUAGGAUCCUGCAAGUGAUAGGAUACCCAACUUGGCUCGCAAAUGUCGUUCCAGUGCCCAAGAAAGACGGCGAGGUCAAAGUUUGUGUGGACUAUCGGGAUCUCAAUAAGGCUAGCCCUAAAGAUAACUUUCCAUUACCAAGCAUACACAUACUAAUUGAUAAUUGUGCUAGGCAUGAAACAUAAUCAUUUGUGGAUUGCUUUGCUGGCUAUCAUCAAAUUGAGAUGUAAAAGACGAUGCUGAGAAAACUGCCUUCAUCACGCUGUAGGGCGUCUAUAACUAUAAGGUGACACCUUUUGGAUUAAAGAACGCUGGGGCUACGUACAUGACAGAAAUGACUACUUUGUUUCAUGACAUGAUCCACAAGGAAAUUGAAGUUUAUGUGGAUAACGUCAUCAUCAAAUCAAAGAAAAGUUCAAAUCAUCUGGAUGUCUUACGAAAAUUCUUUGCUAGGCUACACAAAUACAAUCUGAAACUGAAUCCAGCAAAAUGUGUCUUUGGUGUGCCUGUUGGAAAGAUUUUAGGUUUCAUUGUCAGUCGUCGAGGUAUAGAAUUGGACCCAUCAAAGAUCAAAGCCAUUCGUGACCUUCCCCCGCCAAAGAGUAAGAAUGAGGUAAUGAGUUUCUUAGGGCGACUUAACUAUAUUAGUCGUUUCAUAGGUCAGUCUAUCGUCAGUUGUGAUCCUAUCUUCAAGCUAUUAAAAAAGGUUGCUGCGGUAAAAUGGACAAACGAAUGUCAACAAGCAUUUGACAAGAUCAAAGACUAUGUAUCCAAUCCUCCUGUGUUGGUUCCACCUGAGUAUGGCAGACCAUUACUAUUGUACAUUUCAGUAUUAGAUAAUGCUUUCAGUUACAUCUGGGACAACAUGAUGAAAACAGGGAGGAAGGAUCAGUCAAUAUAUUACAUGAGCAAGAAAUUCACAUCAUGCGAAGCCCGAUACUCUCUAUUAGAGCGCACCUGUUGUUCUCUAACAUGGGUUGCCCAGAAGUUGCGACAUUACCUUUCAUCACACACUACUUAUCUGAUUUCAUGGAUGAAUCCUUUGAAGUAUAUCUUUCAAAAGCCCAUGCACACAGGUAAACUGGCAAAAUGGCACGUAUUGUUGAGUGAGUUUGACAUAGUGUAUGUCACGCAAAAAGCAGUGAAAGCACAUGCAUUAGCAGAUCACAUGGCGGAGAAUACAGUAGACAAUGAUUAUAUGUCGUUAAACACCUACUUCCCAGAUGAAGAAGCGGCCUUUGUGGGGGAGGACAUUUCUGAAGAAUAUGAUGGAUAGAGAAUGUUCUUUGAUGGAGGUAAAAAUUUGAACGGAUUCUGCAUCGGAGCUGUUUUGAUAUCACCCACCAGGCAACAUUAUUUGGUAUCAGUAAAAUUCAGAUUCUUUUGUUCAAAUAAUAUGGCCGAAUACGAAGCUUGCAUACUGGGGCUCCAUUGGGCGAUUCACUUGGAUGUACAGGAAAUUCUAAUAAUAGGGGAUUCAGACCUAUUGAUUCAUUAGGUUCUUAGGUUAUUGGGCAACGAAAAAUCGAAAGUUGUUACCAUAUUUGGAGUGCGUGCAUGAUCUAUGUACAAGGUUUGUCAAAAUAGAAUUUAGGCAUGUACCAAGGAUCCAAAAUGAAUUCGCAGGCGCCUUAGCCACUCUAUCUUCCAUGAUUCGACACCCUGAUCACAAUUACAUCGAUCCUAUUCACAUUUACCGACAUGAACAACCAGCCUAUUGUUUCCAUGUUGAGGAAGAGCCUGAUGGAAAUCCCUGGUACAAUGACAUUAGAGGAUAUUUGAAGAGUGGCGAAUACACAAAUGAUGCAACAAAUGUACAAAAGCGUACAAUUCAGAGGUUAGCAACCCUAUUUUUUUUAAGUGGGGAAAUCCUCUAUAGGAGAAUUCCUGACAUGGGGCUUCUAAGAUGCGUCGAAGCAGGAGAGGCUCGCAGGCUGGUUGAAGAGAUACAUGCAGGCACAUGUGGCCCUCACAUGAACGGUUUUACAUUAGCAAAGAAGAUUCUGAGAAUGGGAUAUUAUUGGCUAACUAUGGAGACAGACGACAUUCGCUACGUCUAGAAUUGUCAGCAAUGUCAGACUCACACACAUAUGAUUCGAGUUCCCCUCGACGAACUACAUGUCACUAGUUCACCUUGGUCGUUCGCAAUAUGGGGCAUGGAUGUCAUUGGUCCAAUCGAGCUAAUAACAUCCAACGGACACAAAUUCAUUCUUGUCAGAAUUGACUAUUUAACCAAGUGAGUUGAGGCCACCUCCCAGAAAUCAGUGACAAAGAAAGUUGUGGAUGACUUCGUCAAAAUUAACAUUAUUUGUAGGUUCGGAAUUCCUGAGUCAAUCAUCACCAACAACGGCACCAACCUAAAUAGUGAUCUGAUGAGAUCAAUGUGUGAGAAGUUCAAGAUCAGUCAUUUAAAUUCUACAACAUACAAGCCACAAAUGAAAGGGGUUGUUGAGGCAGCAAACAAAAAUAUCAAAAGGUUAUUGCGAAAGAUGAUUGAUAACCACAAACACUGAUUUUGGCUCUCCUUGAAAAUAAGGAAAUUGAAUUUAAUUGACUCCUUAAUUUAUUCUAUUUCCCUUAUUAUGCUCCUCUCUUCUACUAUAUAAAUAAGACCCUCUCCUCUCAUUCUAUCAAUUCAUUAACUCAUUCAUUCUCUCUUAACGCAAGAGCUAGACUUCUUAAGCUCUCUCAUUCUCUUACUACUCAUAUUAUUGCUACUCUUAAACAAAAUAAGUUUUCGGUAACUUUCAAGUGCUACUUGGCUCUUUUGCUUUGUCAGAGUAAGAGUUGGAUCAAUUCAUUUUCGUUGCUACCAUUCCUUUUUUGCUUAACCUGUUAGUUUUCUUUUUGCAUUCAUAUAUUUGUGUAAGUUGAUUGGUCUAUUAUUUUCUAUAUGUAUAAUUUAUUUUUAAGCAUAUGCAUGUGUGUCCCACCUUAUCUAAAUAAAUAUGACUACUUGUGUAGUUAUUUGAUUGCUUUGACAAGUUUCAAACUUGAAGUUCAAGUUGAAAAUUAGCCAUGAAGAAAGAUUAUUUGGUUAAUUCAUAUAUUUGAAUAUAUAUAUUUCUUAUCUAUUUAUUCGAAUUUUUUGUAAUAUUUGUAUAACUCUAAAGCUCUCAUUUAUAAAUUAUAUUUGGCGAUCGUCUAAAAGGAGGGGGAAUUAUAUGCAAAUUUGUAAUAUUUUUCGUGUUAGAAAGCAUGCUUAUAGAACUAAAAUAUUUUUGCAUCAUCUAUAUGUGUUGAUUUAACUUUCCAAUCGCCUAUAAAUCAUAGGAAUCACAAGCUAAUCUCUAGUAUGUUGAUUUACGUUGAAAGGAGCAAAAACUUUAAUUGUCAAUUUGUCCCUUAUUAGUUAAUAUGAAUUAUUUUUAAUAUGUUUGAAUAUGUUCACUUAGAAACCAUGCAUAUAGGAAUUAAUUAAAUAAGAUUGUGCGUUAAAGUCACUCCCUAAUAAUUUUCAGCAUGUUUUACAACUAGAUAAUCUCAAUAUUUUCAACUCUAUGAAAGAGCAAAUUUUCUGCAUACAUUAUUAUUUUGUGUUUCAUCAUAAAAAAUUUGUCAUACUAAUUUGCCUAGAAAAAUCUGCAAAAAAUAAAUAAUAGUUAAUAUUUUUCUGCAUCAUAAUUAACCCUUUUGCAUCUAAAUAUGCUAUUAAUUAAUUUCUCCAUUUGUAAUUAAUUUCUGCUCAAAUAAAUAUAUUAAAUUUUUAACAUUAAUAACCAAAUUUGUAAAUAUGUCAAUGUUCUAAAAAAGAAUUUCUGCAUUUAAACAAACUUGUCACUUACUUAGAAUAAUUUUCUGCAUUAAUAUGAGAUCUAUUGUUGUUCUUAAAAUAAAUUUUCUGCCUAAUUAAAUAAUAAAUUUGUUGUCCUAAGUUAUAUUUUGAAUUGAUAGUUAAUUUUUAUGUUGUUUUAAAAUACAUAUGCAUGUGAGAUCACAUUCUUUUGCCAUUUGGAAAUAAAAUAAAAUAUAUCAUGUCACUAAUUGUUGCUCACUUUAAAGUUAAUACUAAAAUAUACAUCUAUGUUAUUAUAUUUGUCUUCUCGUAAUUAAUUUUUUGUUAUUAUAACUUUGUAUGUACACACAUUCAGCAUGAAACCUUUCACAAUUAUGUAUUGUUUGCAAGUAUGUCUAAUUAAUAUUUAGAGGCCAAGUUGAAACCUACCAUGCUAAACUGACUGUUUUGUUUGUCUUGUUUGUUUGACUUGGUGUCUAGGAGGACCUUAAAUUCUAUUUUGUCUUGACCCACCCCAUUAAGAGUCCAAUGCCUCUUUUGACAUUAAAUCCGGGACGAUUAGGCACCAUUUAGGUACGAAAUGCAUGCGGUGAUUGGGUAGUGGUAGUUGGCCCUACGGAGAUGAUGACAUCGACUCAGGCUUGAAAGACAAACCUUGGUUUUGUUUGUCCCUAUGCGGCAUCCUAUCAGAAAAAUGAAAAGAAAAGUCGAGUGCUGAUCCAAAAAGUCUCUUUAGAGUCUCCCUUCCCUUUUUUUACCCCUUUACUUGUUUAAUAAUUAUGUUUAUUUGGGGUAGUUUACAAAAAUAUAAAAUUGUUUGCUUAUUCAUUCGUCUCUUUUCUAUCUUCUCGCUUGUCUAUUUAUUAAUUGCUUAGUAUAUAUUUUAUUACUAUCACUUAGACUCACAUGUUUAAAUAUUAAUUAAAAUAAUAACAUGAGCUAUUUGGUCGACUUGUUUAUCACAUAUUCUCGUAUGUUAAAUUAAAUAAAAAUGACUUUAACUAUUUAUUUAUUGCUAUCGUCUAGCCUUGCAUGUUUAAAUUAAUUAAUAUGAUAAAUAGUCUUAAUUGUUUUAUAUUUUUUAUUACUUAGUGAGCAUGCUAUUUAAUUAACUAAUAAACAAAGUGAUCUUAUUUGCUACUUGUAACCCCCACAUAGAUUGCACGAGAUACGAUCGGGAACCACAUUUGUGGACCUCGAGGGAUGUCUGACACCUUUUCUCGAGGUAAUUUGAACCCUUACCCUGAUCUCUGACUCAUUGUCCUUAGCUAGACUUAUUAAGGUUAUAUAGGUGCCCUAACACACCUUAAUUUGUUAGGUGGUGACUCUUCAAAGCUCCAAAUCCCAAAAGAGUUAUUAGAUCAUGCACAAAACCCAUUUCGAUGAAAAACGGGGCGCGAUAGAGUGCAUUGCACAAGGUAUAACCUAGGGUUAUUAAUGGUGAAGAGAUUGAAGAUAGGAUUUGUACUAGAGUUGCCUUUCCUAGUAUAGUAUGCUAAAGGGGAGCGAAUCUUUAUAGAUGAAGUUAAGAAAUAAAGAAGCUACAGAGGGUGAACAUGUUAAGUAUGGUGUCAAGAUAGGCUUAGUAUGUGAGGUAGUAUGGGCUGCCUUUUGUACAUUGCACAAACAUGUUUUGAGAUGGUUACAAGAGUAUAGUACUCUUUAGUAUGAAGAACAUAGGUCUUAAUUAUGAUAGUAGAUUGCGAUCAAGAAUGACCAAAGAGAAAUACUUAGCUAUGGUAGUAGUAUGGGAUGCUACCUUAGCCUUGCACAAGUAUACUUGGAGGUAGCUUGUGGUGUAGUUCACUAGAGUAAGAAGGGCAAGUAAGUAAAUAUGAAAUCCUAUGUGCUUUAUGAUGUUCUAAUAUGCUUAGGAUAUACAUUUUAUGCUUACGUCUUUUAUCUCUUAUGAUUAUGUCUAUUAUUGGCUAACCCUUUGAGAUAUCUUAUGUUUGGUAUGAUAGUUUCCAUACUUGUUACAUAUCUUACUAACACAUUGCCUACAUGUUUUUCAUGCAGGGUAUUGAGAAGAUUGAGUUGCUUUGAAGGGUAGAGUUCCAAGGUUCCCAAAAAGAGAAGAAGUGAUGAGUCCUCAUAGCUUCGACGACGAACCUUUAUGUUCCUUUAUGUUUUUAUUAUGUUUUAAACUUUAUGUGGGUUGCGCCCCAAGAUGUUUCAUUCAUGUCAAAGUUAGAUGGUUUUUGAGACAAUGUUAUUAGAGAUAGUUCC
rnacentral:lncRNA from 1 species